rnacentral:tRNA from 1 species
GAGAGCUGGCAGGAUUUGGAUUUUGGCAAUGCCUCCGAAACCCACGCAGAAAGAUGCCGUCCAAGAAGGUUUUUUAAUGGAGGCUGAUUUAAAGGAUGGCAUUUGGGAACUGAUUGGCUUUGAGAGAUGUCCCAAGGAAGAGGUUCCCAACCUCAGCCUACAAAACUGGCCGGUGAUACUGUGCCCACUCUGCAGAUAUUAACUCUACACGUGGUAAUAAGAUCCUUAAGGAGGGGCGCCUGGGAGCCUCAGUCAGUUAAGCUCCACUGUGCCCCUUCAAAAUCCACCCCCGUUAAGGACCAACUUGGAUUCACUUUAUCGAGCCCUGCUUCGUGCUCAAGCCCCGUCCUCAGUCUUAGAAAGUCAAGGAGGAGAAAAAGAAAAGCGCCUAUCCCCACCAUCGUGGAAUUCACUUGCAAUGACUGUCCAUGCUCCAGUCUUGUCCCUGUUACUCAAGAAGGAAAGCCUCUCCCCUGAUACACGUAUGCGUGGUAUCUGUAUCACCCAUUGGCACUUCCCGAGGACAGCUCGCUAGGGUUAAUCACCUUAUUCAGGGACUGCUGAUUGAGGGUAAUAAUAAUAACGUGAGUACUUUUACCUAUUGAAUGUCUCCUCUAUGCCAGGCAUUCAUUCUAUUUACACCAUCUCUAGCUCUCUCACCGACCCACACCGCCUGAAAGGGGCAAUUUAUCUCCUUUUACUAAUGAACCACUUGAGGUUCGGAGAUGAUAAGUAACCUGCCCAAGGCCACAUAAGUAGUAAGUGACAUGAUCGGUGUGAGAAUCAGGACCCCUGGCUCCAAAGGCUCUCUAGACACGCCAAGCUGUUGACUCCUGUGUGGUGUCAUGCAUGGAGCUAGCGACCAGUGAGGCAGGGGAGUGUGGGGAAGAGGACACAGCAUUGGGAUUAGAUUUGCAUUCAAGUCCUAGCUACACCACUUGCUGCUGAUGUGACGGUGGGCAAAUUCCCAAACCUCUUUGUAUCUUAAAAUCCUUGUUUUAAAAUUACUGUUUCAAAAAAGAAGCAACUAAACUGCUUACCUCACUUAAAUGAAGGAGAAACACCCAGGAAAGCACCAUCACAGCCUCCUUUCCUUCUCUCUUUGUUGAUGCAGAUCAUUUAAAACUUUGUCAUCUUGGGGGGUCUGGGUGGCUCCGUCUGUGCAGACAGCUUAGAGCCUGGAGCCUGCUUCAGAUUCUGUGUCUCCUCUGUCUCUCUGUCCUUCCCCUACUCACACUCAGUCUCUGUCUCUCUCACUCUCAAAAAUAUAUAAACACGGGGUGCCUGGGUGGCUCAGUUGGUUAAGCAUCUGACUUCGGUUCAGAUCAUGAUCUCAUGGUUCGUGGGUUCGAGCCCCACAUCAGGCUCUGUGCUGACAGCUAGCUCAGAGCCUGGAGCCUGCUUCAGAUUCUGUGUCUCCCUCUCUCUCUGACCCUCCCUUGCUCAUGCUGUCUCUGUCUCUCAAAAAUAAAUAAAAAGCAUAAAAAAAUUUUUAAUUUUUUUUUAAUUUUAAUAAAAUAAAUUAAAUUAAACUUUGUCAUCUCCCUUAAUGUUGCUGGUAUAAAUGUCUAAGUUUGAGAUUAAGGAAACCUGCAAGGGGGCCUUUCAAGGACCUGCAAGUAUAUUAAAGAGGCAGUGGCCCAGAGAGACAGAGACAGGACAGCUGAAAGGAGAUGGAAAAGUAAUCCAGAAACCAGGCAGUGGGAGGUGGUGCAGUUCCUUUUGUUAGGGAAGCUUUUCCAGGGCAGAGCCCUUGAUGCUUUUGUGUGUUAAAAGCAUUUUAAAAGCUUUCCACAGGUGUGCUCAAAAUGCAUUCCUUUUGUGGCAAAGAAAGUGUUGCCUUAUCAAAAUGCUAAUGAGUAUCUUUCAGAAGGAAUCUGGAGAUAUCCGAAAUAGAACCUGGCCCACAAGCUCAAAAGCCCACUCCUUUUUUCUCUACGCUGGGCACCCACUCCAGAACAGAGUAUAGUUAAUAAACGAAACUUCCGUGCUUAGGAAAUCUUUACCAAGCAUUCUGAGAGAUCUUCUACAUCUCCACUUUCAUUAAUCCUUUUUUUAAAGCCCUAUGAAGUAGAGAUUAUUAUUUUUGUGUGUUGCAAGUGAGCAACUGAAGCCCAGAGAGGUUACUUAUCUUGCACAGGGUCACACAGCUAGAAUUAUUGAUGAGAUUUGAGCUAAUUCAUCUACUGACUCAAUAAAUAUUUGUUGAGUGGCUACUUCUUCGAAAGCUAACAUUCCAAGUCUUUCCGGUAAAAUGAAUGACAUUAUAUAAUUUACAAAGUUCUGUCAAAAAGUGAAAGCAGUUUGGCCAGAACACUAUCCUCUCAUGGCUCAGUAAAGAUAAUUGGGCUGGUCACCUUAGCCAGACACAUGUCCACGUACUUCAGAGUUAACUCCACGUGUGUCCUUCUCAAAGCAAGAUGCUUCAAAAGACUGGUCCUCGACAGUCACCAGUGCCAUUCUCAGACAAGUGUAUGUAUCUGCGCUUGACUACUGAUAAAACUUUAUGAGGAUUGUACACUUUGAGACACUCAUUUAUUAGAAAUUUGAAAAGAGGCAAAGUUCAGUGCAUGCAACUCACCAAAAGAGGGAGAAUCCAAUUGUAACAGCAUCUUACUUUGUCGAGGGCAGGAUCCUUUUCAGUGUAUAGUAACAUAAACCCUGCUGUGUUUGCCUCAAAAAGGCCUGUGAGAUCUAACAGGGGAUGGCUAUACCCAUUCCCGAGGAAACUGAGGUUCCGUUUGUUUGUAAAGCUCACCAGUGUGUUAGAAAUGUCCAAGUUUCCAUUUCUAUCUAAUGGUAGAACCAAGGUUUGAACUUGGGUCCUUUCUGCUCUUUCCAGUAUGCCAUCGGCACGGGCCAGGAUGAGUUAGGAUAUGCUGCAGUAACAAAUGGGCUUCUGACCUCAGGGGCUCACAAUAAUAAAGCUGGAUGUCUCACUCAUAUUCCGUGGCAGCUGUGGUUUUGAUCUACUUUGUAUUUACAGCAGGACCCAGCCGACAGAGCGUUCUUUACCUGCCACUUGGCCACUCACAUGGCCAACUGCAGAGCAAGACUGGUGGAUUCCACACUGGCUCUUAAAGCCUCUGAUAGAAGCCAUCACUCUCAGUUCAUUGGCCAAAGCAAGUCACGUGGCCUGAUCCACACACAAGAUACCGGAGAUGUAUUACCUUCCACAGGAAGGGUCCCCAAACAGGAAUAAAAACGUUUCAAUUUAUAUUAGGAAAAUAACGGGUGAAGUCGUUGUGAGCCUCCCUGCCUUGUUGCAUGAAACUAUUCUUUAGCAAAUGUGCUUCUGAUUAAGAAACGUUUCAGAUAGAAUCAGCCAAGCAGUCAUCUUAAAAAAUGUAAAAUUAAUUUCUACAUUUUAUAAAUGAAUUUAAUAUUAAAAAAGCAAUAAUUCUAAAAUCUGCUUGUUGCACAUGAAACCUCCUGCAUUAGCAAAAAAGCAACUUUUCACUCUGGGAAUAAACUUUCCACUUCUGGCAGGAGAAUCGAAUAACAACACUGAAGUUAUCCUGUGAAUGGGCGUCAGGGCGUCAUAUUUGAAUGUGUAAUGAGUACACAUUGGCAGAAACCCCCUUUGCCACAUGACUUCAAAACAAACACCAGUCAGUAGGGAACUACCAGCUGUGCUGAGUAGAAAAAAACAAAACAAAACAAAAAAAAAGCACUCACACUCCCUCCCCCAUAAAGCAAAAAUCCCCUGCAGAAAUCACCUCCUCCAGGAAUGUGGAUGGAGUGGAUUCUCACACUUGUUCAAGUACAAAACCCCACCCCUGGAAAGUCCUCCAGGCAAAGCCGUUUAAAUAAAGUUCAGAGAAAGACAGAAGUAGGCCCUGAAACAGAGUUCCGGCAUUCACAGAAUCUUGCCUUCCCUUAAAAUCAACUGAGCAGCUUAAAAAAAAAAAAAAAAGAGGAUUUCGCAAGAGUUGAAAGAGGCUGAUUUCUAAUGUUGGCUGACUUACAGCGGCCCUUACAAUUCUAAGAUCCUAUGAUUCUGUAAGUUUCUGUGAUGUUGAGAAGCAAAUCCAUUUUCUUACUUAAAUACAGAAGAAAGGGAGAAGGCUAUGCUUUAUGUAAUAAAAAGUCAGAGAAAAAAAUACUGAAAAAAAGGAAAGGAAAGGGUAGGAGAGGAGAGGAGAGGAGAGGAGAGGAGAGGAGAGGAGAGGAGAGAAGAGAAGAGAAGAGAAGAGAAGAGAAGAGAAGAGAAGAGAAGAGAAGGGAAGGGAAGAGAAGAGAAGAGAAGAGAAGAGAAAAGAAGAGAAGAGAAGAGGGAGAACAGAAGAGAAGAGGGAGAAGAGUAAAGAAAAAUAGAAAAAAGAAAAGAAAGAAAAAGAAAAAAGAAAAGAAAUGAUAAAAUUCUGUUCCUUAAAAUUUUUUGGCACUGAGUCAGGACUUGGUUUGUAGAAAUGAGACUUCCCCAAUACUUCUGUUAGAGCCCGUGAGGAAAGGAGAAAUGAACUGACUCAGACGUCACCUUAGCCUUUUCGUAAAGGUCAUCGAAGGGAAAGCCUGUAAGGAACCACACUGCCCCUCAGUCACUAGCCAGCCUGAGACAUUGUCCUAGGAAAAAGGGGAAUCAUGCUCACAUGUCACAUUUUAGAUUAAAUCACUAAAUUGUCUUGCUUUUUUCCCCAUGAUUCUAAAUAUAAUUCAAGUGGGUAUGAGUUUGGCUUAUAGGGAAAUGUUUCUAACUGAGCUUUUCUGAAAUGCUUAGAUAUUAACUCUAUAACUUUACUAUCAUAACUGCUGCUAGUAAAUCUCCACAGCUGAUAUUCAAAUUUAAUGUAACUGUAAGUGACAUUAGUAACAGGAAUGAAGAAAAGAGAGAGACGGAUAUAUAAGCUCUUUCUUAUCAACUUGGUGCCUGCUGCUUUCCACAGAAAAAAGUAAGUAGGCAGGAGAUUCGCGGAAUCAUUAGUCUAUCUGUACGCAAAGAAACAUCCCUAAUGGUAAUAGUGACAAGGAGUUCAAGAGAAACAACCAUGGGGAAAGAGCAGUUCAUUUUGAGAAGGGAAUG